rnacentral:rRNA from 1 species
GGGAACCUGAUCCAUCANGCCGCGUGAAUGAAGAAGGCCUUAGGGUUGUAAAGUUCUUUUAUUUGGGAGUAAACGCUAAGCGCUAAUACCGUUUAGAAUUGAGAGUACCAGAUGAAUAAGCACCGGCUAACUACGUGCCAGCAGCCGCGGUAAUACGUAGGGUGCAAGCGUUAAUCGGAAUUACUGGGCGUAAAGCGUGCGCAGGCGGAUAUAUAAGUUAGGUGUGAAAUCCCCAAGCUCAACUUGGGAACUGCACUUAAGACUGUAUAUCUAGAGUUUGUCAGAGGGGGGUAGAAUUCCAAGUGUAGCAGUGAAAUGCGUAGAUAUUUGGAGGAAUACCAGUGGCGAAGGCGGCCCCCUGGGAUAAAACUGACGCUCAGGCACGAAAGCGUGGGGAGCAAACAGGAUUAGAUACCCUGGUAGUCCACGCCCUAAACGAUGUCUACUUGCUGUUGGGACGUUCACGUCUUGGUAGCGAAGCUAACGUGAGAAGUAGACCGCCUGGGGAGUACGGUCGCAAGAUUAAAACUCAAAGGAAUUGACGGGGACCCGCACAAGCGGUGGAUGAUGUGGAUUAAUUCGAUGCAACGCGAAAAACCUUACCUUGCUCUUGACAUACUAGGAAGAUCUCAGAGAUGAGAUUGUGG